GGGGAGUCCUGGGGCUCCACGUUUUGACCAGGUUCUCAGAAACCUGUGUCUCUGUUCACUGGGGCCAAGGACAACCCAUGAAAGGCGCAGGGCGGGGCUGCAGCCAGGCCUCCGGACCCAGUCCACCCAGGGCUCUGGUCCUUUCCGCUCCCACAGCAGGUCUGAACCGGGCAGUGCCCUUGCUGGCUCUGAGGAGGGCUGGGCCCGGGCAUUUCCCCACUGUCCCCCCGGGGACUCUGUGGCUCCAGUUCCCAUGGGGUUAUCACCCCUCAAACACCUGCCUCCAGCCGUGAAGUGGGAGCCAGUGCAGCCUGAAGGUAGGUGUACAGAUUGGAACAGCCCAGCUUGCUGGGGCUCUGGGUAUACAGUUGGCGCUCAGUAAGGACAGCAGCUCUGGCCACUCACAUGUCGACGUUGCCCUGCCUCUUCCAAGGCAGGAUCUUGGAGAGGCUGUUGGGAACCAGAGCAGCCUGAGCCUGCUUCCAGGGGCCAUGGUGGGAGUCCAGGACAGCUACAGCUUGGGCCUUUUGCCCUGCACCCACCCAGCAGAGGAGACCACGGGGCCGCUGGUCCAGCCCACCAGCCUCGUGGCCCACGUGUCCAGCCCAGACGUGACUCCUGCAGGCAGUGAAGAUGCCGCUGCAGUAUCCACAGCUGCGGUGGACGCUCUGUGCCCUCCACAGAGGGGCUGGUCCUCUGCCUUCCUGGACACAGAGGCGGGGCUGUGGCCAGGUCGGGCGGCAGGACCCUCAUGCCCACUUGGACCCUGGCUUGACUACAGCUGCAUACACUGUGAUGGAGCUGUGGGGCCUGCGUGCCAGGGCUGGACCAGGAGGGCGCCGCUUUGCCGCCAGCCCCCUGCCCCCCAUUUGUCUCUUGGAGACCAUCCUGCCACCAGCACUGGUGCACUGCAGGGCCUCCUCCUGGGCCCUCAGUGGGCACACAUGUGCACGGUGGACAAGGACACAGGCCCAUGCGGCAUAGACACUGUCCCUCUGGACUUGACUUGCUGUAGAGGUUUCUGAGUCCUCUGUCUUGAUCAUGGUGCACCCCAUCACCUCAAGGGGCCAGUGCUCCCCGACCUUCCACAUGUGGUCAACCACCACGUCCUUGUACAUCAGCCACACCACAGCCCUGCGUGUGCCGUGCCUCGCAGGGCUGGCCGCCCCUCCUCCUUCCCACCAUGCGCGGUCACUGACCCGCUUGGCUCUGACUGCUGAUACACGGCUUCUUUAUUUAAUCAUUUCCCAAGGAACAAGGAAACUGCAGGAGAAAUUGUGGCACCACGGAAUGACUCAUGACCUAAACCAUUCUCUGGGAACCAGCAUGCUCACUGUGUCCUGGAGAAGGGGGUCUCCGAGGAAGGGUCUGAGGAGUUCGCAGAGAGUGGCUCUCGGGUCAGCUGGGUGCUUGGCAGCUGGAUGGAAAAGAAUCCCACCAAGUUCCAGUCGAAGGCCAAGAUGGGUCUAUUUAGGAAAAUAGAGACUAUUCAAGGGACACUGCGGGCCACUGGCAGAGUGAGAGAUGCAUUUGGGGUUCCCAGCUCGUCUUUUACAGGGGGCGUGGUGAGGGGUGCUGUGGGAAGGUCUGUAGGAAGUUAUCGUCCAGUGAUCGUGAGACAGUUUGGUGGUCUGGACAGUGUCCAGUCCUCAGGAGGAUCUGAUCAAUGUCUACUGUGCUGGAAAGUCCCCUAAAUUAUAGGUUCCUCUAGAAAGGCUCUCUCUCUUUGCCCAGCUGGUUUACUGGGAGUUCAUCAACAGUGCACAGGAAGAUCUACAGGUGGCCCAGGCAUCUGGGAGUAGCGGGCCUGCGAGGGAGGCAGGCCUAGGGAGUGACCGGCCUGGAAAAGAAGGCGGAACUCUGAAUUUGAAAUCCUCUUUCCUGUCCUUCCUGUGUGUCUCCUUUCUACCUAUGUCCUACUCCUUCUAUCAAAUAGAUCAAACGUGGUCGUUUUCGUUCCAAAUGGCCUUUAAACACCAAAGUUCACUCCAUUUCUGUUGACAGCAAGCUGGCUGUGAUCACUGCCCAAUGGCCAUCCCAUGCCUGCUGAGAGGGACCCAGGGCCGUGGGCCUGCCUCGCCAGCCCCGGGUCCUUGUCCGCUUUCCGUGGCUGGGACGGAACACCUGAGGAAGACAACUUAGGAGGGAGAGUCCUUUUGGCUCCCGGCCCCACAGGUCCUUGGUUGCUGGCUCCGGGCACACACGCGGUGGCAGAAGAAGGGGGCUGCUCAUGGCAGCUGGGAAGCAGAGGGGGCAGGGGAGACAGGAAGGAGGAAGGGGCUGGGGCAAGGUCACCCCAGUGAUGUGCUUCUCCAACCAGGCCUCCCGCUUCUGCCACUCCCAGCCACGCCGUCAGACCACUGAUCUGUCGCUGAUGCGGUGAGACCCCCGGCUCAAGCCCACCGAGAGCCCCCUCUCUGAAUACUGCUGCACUGGAGACCAGCCCCUCAACACAGGAGCUCUUGGGCGACACUCCAGAUCCAAGUCACUGCACCGACUCUUAUCCCUUCUGGAGAGCUGGCCAGCGCCCAGGCAGCUCCCUGGAGGAAACCCUGACCCCUGACGGUCACUGUUCUGUGACUGGCAGAAGCCCUGCUCCGUCCCCUCACCCCUGGGCCCAGUCCCAGUCUGUCACCUUUUCCACAUCUUCUUCAGGGAGCGGAGGGUGGCCUGGCCCGUUAGGGAGAGCCCAAGGCGUGCACGGCCGUGAUGGUGCAGGAAGUGAGGCUUCUGGGGGCUCGGCCCGUUGGGGACAGAGCUGUCUGUAAGCUGAAGAAGGCAAGUGCCCUCAGAGGAGCCUUCGUGUGGUCUGAGUGUGUGCACACGUGAGCAGUGUGAGCGUCCAGAGAGACUCGUCAUGCCAGCUCUAACUUAUAAACCUGGUGUGCUGGAGGUUGGCAAAGGAGAACCGCGAGACCUUAGCCAGCUUCCCCAAGUGACCUCGAGUUGCUUUUGAAGCAGGAAUUGGCGAGCUUCCGCCCCUGUCUCCUCCAGCUGGCUUUGUAAAUAGAGUUUACUGACACAGCCUCCUGCGUCCCGUGCCUACCCUCUGUGGCUACUUUGUCACGGCAGCAGAGCUGGGCAACUGGGACAGAGACCAAGAGCCUGCAGGACUGAAGGGCUUUAUGGUGUGGCCCUUUGUGCAGCAUGUGCCCACUGGUCACCCGCUAGAUACUCACACAGCACACCACACACCACGUACCAGGAAGUCUCACCUACACACACGUACACACACACGCAGUAGGUACACACAUCACACACGUCACACACUAUGUACGCACAGAUACCCUCCUGCCUGAGGGGCUGCCCCGGCUGGGCAGUGUGGCUCGGCCACAGGAUUGGCUACUGCACUGUGUGAGCGGCAGACAUCUAGACACAGAGCUCCCUCUUCCGUAGUUUUCUUGUAUCCUUCAUGACCUGUCACUUCUGGGACCAUGUCCAGGUAGGUGUCAACCUCAGAUGUGUGUGGGCUGCUUGGAUCUGAGCCUCUGGCUGCCGGGGUGCGCCUGGUGGCUCCCGAGCACUGUUUCCGAGCACCCGGAUUACUCCCUGUUGACAGCACAUGCCCUGUCUCCUCCCUGAGCACGCUGCUUCUCCCUGAGCACCCCUCUCCUCCUGAGUACCCGCUUUCCUCUGAGCCCCCCGUUCUGUGCUGGUGAGCCACUGAAGGUCUAGCCUAUGGAGAUGUUGGCCUUGCAUGCAGCAUUUGGGUAUGACUUAGNAUGUAGGGUUUUUUUCUUUUUUUUAAAAAAAAGAUGCUAUUUAAAAUAGUCUUGAGCGUGAAGUGCCCUAUUUUUGGAUUUAGUGACUUUGUGAGCUCAGUAGAACUCUGUAUCCUGCAGCCAGGUUUAUCCAGGAAAUUCAGGACCUGGCUCUCCAGGCCAAUGUCCCUCAGCCUGACCGUUCUGCUCCAGGAGGUCCUGGGGGCUGCCUGGGCGGAGGCCACAUGUCUUCCUGGGGACAUGUCCCUGCCUCAUUCUGCUGGAGACACAGGCUCAGCUCUGAGGCCUCCCCUGCAACCACGUCACAGCUGAGCCUGUGCAUGGACACACCCUGUGUGUGGACCCACGCUGGGCGGUCGAUGCCAGGAUGGCCACUCUCUCACUGUCCUGUCAGGUUGGCAUCUGUGUUCACCAGCUGUCUGCGCUGGUUGGCAGACGCCCCUGGGAGGUCCUCCCCUGGAACACGUGGGCCCGUGGCUCACAGACCCACAACGGAGUGUCUGGCGGGCUGUGAGGUGGCAUCCUGCUCGGGUCCCGGCUCUCCUGGGUGAAGGCUCCUGCCUUGGGCUCCUCCCCUGCAGGUGGGGACAGUGGUAAUGGCACCUCCCACAGUCCCUGGGAGGUGAGUGAGGCCAUGUGCUUGGAGCUCCGAGGACACUAUGGGGUCCCUGGCCAGAGCAGCCCGCAGCUGACACAGAGGCCAGGGCUGGAUCAUCUCCUGAGAUCCAUUUAAUUGCUGGACACAGGGUGGACAUUAUCAUGUUGAAAAGUUUAAUUUCAUGCUAAGUCACAUGAAAAAUGUCUUCUGAGAACUCCUGUCUGAGGGGCUGCCCCAAGUGGCCAGCGUGGCUCAACAGUGUCCUGGGCUGUUUCCAGGAGCUGCUUGUCUUCAGCUUGUACCCAGUGGAUGGGCUGGGCUGCCGUCUCCCCAGCCAAUGUCCUCUGUGUCCCUGGGCCUCAGUAUCCUGCCAGAGGGUGACACUCAGACAAUAGGAGGAAGCUGCCCAGCGAGGAUUCAGGAAACCAAAUCAGCUGACUAGAGAGGGAGAAGCAGAGGAGGAGACGCAGAAAUGUGGACCAGAGACAGCUGGAGACCGGGGGGCACUGAGGCAUCAGGUGCUGGGAGACGUCAGGGCCAGAGGUCGACUAGGCCGCGUGCCAGAGCACCUCCAGGAAGGGAGACGGAGGUGGAGGGGAGGCCGAGGGGCGCGCUCAGCCACCCCUUCCUCGGGGCCCUGGGCUUCCAGCACAGGUGGGAAGAGGUUGCAGCGGGUUGUGAGAGCAGCACUGGGCAUUUGGAUUUCGCCACUCCAGGGGCAGGGGACCAUCGGCAUUGGAGCCCGGGUUUGGGAAGCAGGGAGCCGGAGGUCGUUCAUCCCUCGCCUUUGCCUCUGCCAGCUGCACUGUAGCCAGGGAGAGGUUCUCUGGUCCACCUGCCUGGACCCAGCCCCUCUGGGACAGUUUUACCUGCUGCAAGCUUCUCUACUGACGAGAAGCAUGUUCAGGAGGCGGUCAUACCUCCUGAAGGGGAGCUGGACGGAUGGGGACAUUUUAUACCUUUGCAUUUUCUGCAUAUUGGGCUGCGUGAGGAAGUUAUUGAUGGACACAGGGCAGUGCGACUUUAGGGAGCAGUGCCGUGCUGCAGCUUGCUCGUCUGCCCCGGGCCCACACGGAGCUGCCCCUCUGUGCUGGUUGCACACAGACCCAGGAGAGAGCAGCUGGGUUCUUCAGCACCCCCCACCUCCGGGCUGACCCUGUCCCUGCCACAGCUCCUCUAGCACUUGGUCCCUGGUUGCCUUUCGUGGGCAACCUGCAGCCCGGGUUCCAGAACCACAGGUAACACGCCCGUCUCCCCGGGCUGGUGGGGGGCUGCAGCCCUUCUUGCUCCACGGGUCUUUUUCCAAGUCACACAGAGCAGCAAGUGCUCCAGUCAGAAGCCCCCCGUGAGGACCAAGGUGGCCUGCUUCAGCUGAUGCCCUCCAGGCUUCCUGCUUACUCGACCCUUACUUGUACCUUCUCCAUUAUGUGAUGAUCCACGGGGCUUUUUAAAAAUCAGUUUCUCUUAAAUUCUCGCCCACUGCUCAAUGUGUUAAGAUCAUUAAUUCCCAAGAGCAGAGGUGAUACCUAUUCCACCUUUGCAUUCCCAGGACAAUCCUUGUAAAUAUUGCAUGCCAGAUUACC
rnacentral:lncRNA from 1 species